CAGUCGCCGCGGUAAUAUGGAGGGUGCAAGCGUUAAUCGGAAUUACUGGGCGUAAAGCGCACGCAGGCGGUCUGUCAAGUCAGAUGUGAAAUCCCCGGGCUUAACCUGGGAACUGCAUUUGAAACUGGCAGGCUAGAGUCUUGUAGAGGGGGGUAGAAUUCCAGGUGUAGCGGUGAAAUGCGUAGAGAUCUGGAGGAAUACCGGUGGCGAAGGCGGCCCCCUGGACAAAGACUGACGCUCAGGUGCGAAAGCGUGGGGAGCAAACAGGAUUAGAUACCCGCGUAGUCCCUGUCUCUUAUAC
rnacentral:rRNA from 1 species